AAAGUUUUAUUAUAAUAUAGUAUAAUUUAUUGUCAAUAAAUAGGUUAAAACUUUA
rnacentral:tRNA from 1 species